rnacentral:tRNA from 1 species
CCGAGCCGUCGGCCCGCGGCGCGUAGGGCAGCGGCCUGGCGGGCCGCAGUCCGCGUUCCUGCCGGGGCAGCGCGGG